rnacentral:antisense_RNA from 1 species
GCGGUGGUGAGCCACAGCGGGUCGCUGGUCAGCACGGCCUCGUCGCCGAGGUGGUCGCCGUCGGUGACCACGCCGAGCAGGUUGGUGUCACCGUACUUGCCCGUGCUCAGCCGGUUGAUCCGGCCGUGGGCGAUGAUGAACACCUCCUCGAUCGGGGUGCCCUCCUCCACGAGCACCUCACCGGCGCGGAACUCCCGCACCUGGAAGCGCGAGGCGAGCUCCCGCAGCACCGCCAGGUCCUCGAAGUCCCGCAGUGCCGGGAUCUCCCGGAGCGUCUCCGGGACGAUCUGCACGUCGUCCGCCCCGCCCUGCACGAAGCCGACCCGGCCGCGCCCCACCGCGAGCGACAGCCGCCGGUUGACCCGGUAGGUGCCGCCGGCGACGUUGACCCACGGCAGGUUCUUCAUCAGCCAGCGUGAACUGAUGCCCUGCAUCUGUGGCGUGGACUUGGUCGUGGUCGCCAGGUUGCGCGCGGCGCGGGUACUGAGGCUCUGCUGGUCGGGAGCU